CAGUGCUGCCAGACUGACCACAGCUGACCUGGUGCCAGUCCCUGAGUGUCGGUCUGUGUUCCAGAAAGUUUCUAGAACUGUCUAUAGAGGUCUAUGGGCGGACUGUGAUGGUGAUGAGACCCCUCCCAAGUACCCCACAACAUGGACGUGUGCAGGAUCAUCAUCGACGGAGAUUGACACCUACCCCUUGCCGUUCAUUUUCUACAGAACAGGUUUGAGGUUACCACCAUACCUGUCAUCUAGUUCAGGUAACUACAUCCCUCCAUGUCCUUAUGUAGACGACAUCAGCUUCUCCCUUUAUUGGUAAAGAUAAGAUUAACA